ACCCAAAAAAAGAAGAAGUGAAUUUCCAUUACCAUUUGCCAUCGAGGCAUUCGUCCCGUCAAUUUUCCUUCCAUCUGAAUUCUAUUCUACUUUCGUGUUUUCAGCGAUUCUGAUUUCUGACUUGUGAGAUUUGCAAACCGAACAUGGGAUCCCUGAAAUUUGGAGAAGUAUCCCAUUAUCUCCUGAACAAGUACUCUGCCCUUCUUGAAGAAGCAGAAAAAGAUCUCAGCAGAGUUUCCUGCAUCUCUCGCUUUCGAGAUGCAGAGACCCGCAUCAAAUCCAAGUAUUUCAAUGCCAAUACUACUAGCAAAAUAGCCCGUGCUACUUCUUCUGGGGAUUUUGAUGUCCGGGAGUUGCUUUAUGACCUCAUCUCUGCACUCUCAGAGUGCCGCGUUUUCGCCCAACAGCAUCGUGGGGCAGUCGCGGCCGAGAAUUGUCUCUUGAAAUUCAAGCAUUUUUGGUUCAUUAGGCAAAUGAACCAACGGUUGGAUGAUUUAGACAAGAAGCUCAAUGAAGUUUCCAAUGAACUGGACAAGAAGCUGAAUGAAGUUUUAGAUUCAGAGCAGAUAGGUAGUGCAGAUUCAUCCUCCUCGUCAGAUGAUGAUGAUGAUGAUGAUGGUGAUGAAGAUAAUGCUUAUGAUGAUGAUGAAGGGGAUAUUUCAGGUGGGUUUAAAGGAUUGGAUUCAGCUGUUGAAAAAAUCAAGGAAUUUAUAGUUGAGGGAAGUGAAAAUGAUGCUAGAAGUGUUUUAAGGGGGAUUGGAAUAGUGGGGGUCGGGGGAUCUGGGAAAACGGCUCUUGCACGGAAGGUGUUUGAUAAUUUGCCUGUGAGGAGGAUGUUCUCACCGAGGAUUUGGGUUUCUUUAUCUGAUACCCUUCAUGAUGAACCAGUGAGCGUGGACUUGAGAGUGAAGAUAUUGAGGAAAAUGCUGGAGCAGGCUGGUUGCGAUGUCUCGGAAAUGAUGACUACCUAUGUUGACAUUCCCAAGCUCACUCAGAAGCUUUACCAUCGGUUAAUGGGCAAGAGGUAUCUAAUUGUGUUGGAUGAAGUCUGGCAUGUCAAUGACUGGUAUGCAGAUUUAUGUUCUGAGAAGCCAAAAGGCGACGCAUUUGGGGACCGGAUAUCUCAUGCUUUACCAAAAGACAGUGGUGGGAGAAUCAUUGUCACUACUAGGCGAAUGGGUGUUGCUAAAGAACUAAUAGGUUCAGAGAACUUGAUUCGAAUUGAUACUCUGCUUGGACAAGAGUUCUGCUGGUCAUUGUUUUCUGAUGUUGUCUGUGAAGAUGGAAAUUUUAACAUAAAUGACAUCACUCCAACAAUGAAGGAGGAAAUCAGCAAAAAAUGCAUUGGCCUUCCCUUAGCUGCCAGGACUUUAGCAACGAUAAUUCCAGAACAAAUCAAACAUCACAAGCAAAACGCAUGUUGAUGGCUGGAUAGUAAGUCUACUUUGUUUCUGUGGUUCUGAAGGCACUUCAUCUUAGAUGCUUGCAUGCGUUAUAAUCGGAAUGCAUGAAACUGAGUUCUCACUUCUGGUCUAUCUUCGAUUGGAUGUUCAAAGUUCCAUGCAGCCAUCAAUGAUUCCAGAAAAGUUUUGGUGACAAUUUGCAGCCCAUUCAAGAAAAUGGAGAAAACUCAUCUAUCAGAAGUUUUUCUCACAUUGCCAAAACGUGAAUAUGACGAGUAGAGUGCUCUGAUUUGAAAAAUUGAGAACAUCACCAAAGUUUCGUAUCAGAUCAGCAUUUAGCAUCCAAUAUUUCUGCAUUUUAUUAUGUGAAGUUGUUAGCUGAAACCUUUUUUUCCCCGUAACAGUAAUGAUUUAAUUUUCCUGACCGAAUGUGGCCAAUUUGAUCGUACCAGCCUGGAAAGAUCAAGAAAAUCUGACUUU